CCCACUAUACCUGGGUAGGGUGCGUUGAAACCUGCCUCCGGGCUCCUCCUCAGUAGGCCCUCACCGCUUCUCGGGGUCAUGGCGUGGGUCCCCCCUUGGCAGAGGACGGCCAGGAGCUGAGCGAACACUCCUGCCACGGGGGCGGCACCCACCGCCUGUUGGACGGGACAAGUGAAGCUGCCGGUCCCCGAGGCGCUCAGGCACGUCCAAUCAACCAUAAUGAUGGCAUUUUU
rnacentral:lncRNA from 1 species